AAGGGUGAGUAAGGCGACGGUAACCAACCCCAGGAUUGGGUAUAGCCGCGGGAAACCGCGGGUAAUCCCCAGCGACGCAACGGCACCGGCAUCGGUGCCUUGCCAAAGCUUCGGCGUCGUGGGACGGGCUGUCGUGGUAUUAGCUUGUUGGCGGGGUAAUGGCCCACCAAGGCUCUGAUGCCUACCGGGCGUGCGAGCGUGGCCCGGCACACUGGGACUGAGACACUGCCCAGACUCCUACGGGAGGCUGCAGUCGAGAAUCUUCGGCAAUGGGCGCAAGCCUGACCGAGCGACGCCGCGUGGAGGAUGAAGGCCUUCGGGUUGUAAACUCCUGUCGAGGGGGAAAAAGGGUCGAGAGGCCUUGAUUGAUCCCUGGAGGAAGCACGGGCUAAGUUCGUGCCAGCAGCCGCGGUAAGACGAACCGUGCGAACGUUAUUCGGAAUCAUUGGGCUUAAAGCGCGUGUAGGCGGAUUCGUGCGUCUGUCGCUGAAAUCCCCCGGCUCAACCGGGGAAGUGGCGUGGAUACGACGAGUCUGGAGGGGCAUAGGGGGACCUGGAACUUCCGGUGGAGCGGUGAAAUGCGUUGA
rnacentral:rRNA from 1 species